UUUUCCCUUAAAAUUAGGCACUGAGCAUUUUCCACAUCAUUAAAGACUACUAAUAGUUACCAUUUGCCCAGUGCUCACAAUGCCCCGGCGCGGGGCCAAGGGCUCUGCUCAAUUUACUCUUUUAAUUUUCACAACAGCUGCCUGCAGUUUGAAGGGGUGGCCCUGGGGCCAGGUGGCCAGAUGCCCCUCAGGCUCAGCCCCUCCAGAGAAAUGUGGGUGUGUUUGCUUCCUGUAGCUUCUGUGACAAAUUACCAUGAACUGGGUCGCUUAAAACAGCAGAGGAUGAUUCUCUCACAGUCGUGGGGGCCAGAGGGAGAAGUUAAGGAUUCAGCAAGGCCAUGAUCUCUCUGGAGACUCGAGGGGAGGAUUCUUGCUAGCAUCUUGAGGCUGCUGCAAAUCCUUGACCUCCCCUGGCUUAUGUAUGCACCAAUCCAACAUCUGCCCCUCCUCUUCAUAUCCCCUCUUCAAGAACAUCAGUCACUGAAAUUUGGGACCAUCCUAACCACUCACAUCUGCAAAUGUUCUAUUUCCAAAUAAGGUACCUCCUAAGGUUGUGGCUGAACAUGAGUUCUGGGGGUCACUCUCCAGCCCUGCAUGGGGUGUUUCUGAGCCUCGCUUUCCUCAUUUUUCCGUGGUAAGGACCAGUGCCAUCCUACGGGCUAACGGAGUGAGUGUGCAUGUGUCAUGUAGAGCACAGAACUCCGGCUGGCCUUCUGCAGCCACCUCCAGGGCCCAGCUUGCCCUGACAGCAUGGCAGUUACAGAACCAGCCCCAUCAGCCUAACGAUGGCUGGACAAGGAGGGCAGUCCAGAGCCCCUCAACCCAUGGUGAUGUAGCUGGCAGAAGUUAGACCUGCUGGAGAAAUCCUGGGAGUUGUCACCUUUUUAGGAGACAGGAUCAAAAAGCAAUCAGAAAGAGAGAGAAGUUACCGCACUCAGGGCUGACUGUGACUCCCAGAUGCACUCACCAGCAGCGUGGGCCUGGGGGGGUCACUAAACCCGCUGAGGUCCUGGCUUCAGCCCUGACGUGGGGGGACCUCCCCAUCUCUCAGAGCUACUGUGAGGCCCGAGCAAGUCCAUU
rnacentral:lncRNA from 1 species